rnacentral:rRNA from 1 species
GAUGAACGCUGGCGGCGUGCUUAACACAUGCAAGUCGAACGGAACUGUUUGGAUGAAGUUUUCGGAUGGAUUUUAAACAGUUUAGUGGCGGACGGGUGAGUAACGCGUGGGUAACCUGCCUCACACUGGGGGAUAACAGUUGGAAACGGCUGCUAAUACCGCAUAAGCGCACAGUGGGACAUCCCACAGUGUGAAAAACUCCGGUGGUACAGGAUGGGCCCGCGUCUGAUUAGCUGGUUGGCAGGGUAACGGCCUACCAAGGCAACGAUCAGUAGCCGGUCUGAGAGGAUGAACGGCCACAUUGGAACUGAGACACGGUCCAA